rnacentral:ribozyme from 1 species
UGCCCAGCAACUCCUAUCCCUACCUCCACGCGGUACCGGCCGGAAACUAUGAGCAACCUUAGGGAAGAUCGGGUAACCAACCCCGGUGGUUUUUUUUGGUCGUAGGCUGACAGGAAAGG